GUUCUUAUAGUGAAAAUACAACGAUGGUUUUUCAUAUCAUUGGUCCGGGUUUAAUUCCAUGUGAGAUUA
rnacentral:tRNA from 1 species